rnacentral:rRNA from 1 species
GAUGAACGCUAGCUACAGGCUUAACACAUGCAAGUCGAGGGGCAGCGGGAUUGAAGCUUGCUUCAAUUGCCGGCGACCGGCGCACGGGUGAGUAACGCGUAUCCAACCUUCCGCUUACUCGGGGAUAGCCUUUCGAAAGAAAGAUUAAUACCUGAUGGUAUCUUAAGCACACAUGUAAUUAAGAUUAAAGAUUUAUCGGUGUACGAUGGGGAUGCGUUCCAUUAGGUAGUAGGCGGGGUAACGGCCCACCUAGCCAACGAUGGAUAGGGGUUCUGAGAGGAAGGUCCCCCACAUUGGAACUGAGACACGGUCCAA